rfam:Leptolyngbya sp. Heron Island J, whole genome shotgun sequence.
GGGGCUGUAGCUCAGCUGGAUAGAGCAACCGCCUCCUAAGCGGUAGGUCGCGCGUUCGAAUCGCGCCAGUCCCG